rnacentral:rRNA from 1 species
AAACAUGGCUCUUUGAAUUAUUUUUAUAAAGAGUCAGGCCUGCCCAGUGAAAUUUACUUUAACGGCCGCGGUACUCUGACCGUGCAAAGGUAGCAUAAUCAUUUGCCUUAUAAUUGAAGGCUAGUAUGAAUGGUUUAACGAGAGCAGCACUGUCUCUUUUUUAUUUCCAAGAACUUAACCUUUAGGUGAAGAGGCCUAAAUUUUAUUGAAGGACAAGAAGACCCUGUCGAGCUUAAAAGACACUAUAGAAGUUUAUAUAUACCUAAAUAAAUUUUCUGUUAAGCUUUUUAGUUGGGGCGACUAAGGAACAAAAAAAGCUUCUUAAGCAAAACAAACAUUCAAGUUUUGAUCCGGUGAUAGCCGAUUUAAGGAAUUAGUUACCGCAGGGAUAACAGCAUAAUCUCUCUUGAGAGACCUAAUCGAAAGAGGGGGUUGUGACCUCGAUGUUGGACUAGAAUAUCCUAAAGAUGUAGAAGUCUUUAAGGGUCGGUCUGUUCGACCGUUAAAAUUUUACGUGAUC